rnacentral:tRNA from 1 species
CGGACUUGAAAAUCCGUUGGCUUAUAGACCAUGAGGGUUCAAGUCCCUCUACCCCCA